CGUCUGCCUUUAGCGUCCGACGAUAUAAGCGGACGGUAAAUUUAAAAUCAGCGUCCGGUAAACGACAGAUGCAAAUUAGCGUCCGCUUUUUGAAAUUUAGCGGCCGUUCUUUUAAACUGACGCUAAUUAGCGUCCGUCUAGUUAUAAUACCGUCCGAAAGACGGACGCUAAAUAAGAGGUAUAAAAAAAAAAUGCGUCCAGUCGACCAAACUAACAACCCUAACCCACGCUUCUCUCUUCUUCACUCUUUCCACGCCUCUCUCUCUUCCUAACUCUCAUCUCACGUUUCUCUCUCUUCCUCACUCUCAUCUCACAUUUUCGUGCUCUAUCUUUCUUUCAGAUCUCACGAAAUCAGCCGCUAAUAAGGAGGAGGGGUUUGGGCUUGGGUGGAAAGAGAUGGAUAAAGGACACAGAAUCUUAUCAUUGGAGUCUCCAUCACAAAGGAAGAUAUUGGAAUGAGCCUUAGUCUUGUGGUCAACUAAAGUGGCAUGAAAAUUACUACAGUUAAAGGGGUUAUCACAUUUGCGUUUGAGUUCCAGAUUUUCGUUGUGGAGUUUAAAAGUGUACAUGUAAUUAUAUGAGAUUUGUAUUAGUUUUUGUUCUAAGUAUACUAGAAUUUAGUUAUAGAAUUAUUUUUUUACUUGUAUCUACAUUUAUUAUCAAUAAUAAUUGAAUUGAUUAAUUUGUUUGCCUUAAUAAAAGAAGUAUGGUAUUUGCAUUA